UUCUGGCUCAGGAUGAACGCUGGCGGCGCGCCUAACACAUGCAAGUCGAACGGUUAAAGCACCUCCGGGUGUGAAUAAAGUGGCGAACGGCUGAGUAACACGUGGGCAACCUGCCCCUCGCUCCGGGACAGCCUCGGGAAACUGGGAGUAAUACCGGAUACUCCGCCACCCCCGCAUGGGGGAGGCGGGAAAGCUCCGACGGCGAGGGAUGGGCCCGCGGCCUGUUAGCUUGUUGGUGGGGUAACGGCCUACCAAGGCAAUGAUGGGUAGCUGGGUUGAGAGACCGACCAGCCAGAUUGGGACUGAGACACGGCCCAGACUCCUACGGGAGGCAGCAGUGGGGAAUCUUGCACAAUGGGCGAAAGCCUGAUGCAGCGACGCCGCGUGCGGGACGAAGGCCUUCGGGUUGUAAACCGCUUUCAGUGGGGACGAGGCCGAGAGGUGACGGUACCCACAGAAGAAGCCCCGGCUAACUACGUGCCAGCCGCUGC
rnacentral:rRNA from 1 species